UUCCGGUUGAUCCUGCCGGACCUGACUGCUAUCGGAUUGAUACUAAGCCAUGCGAGUCUUUGUAGUAAUACAAGGCAUACGGCUCAGUAACGCGUAGUCAACCUACCCUAUGGACAAGAAUAAUCUCGGGAAACUGAGCAUAAUUCUUGAUAGAUCAUAAUGCCUGGAAUGGUUUAUGGUUAAAAUGAUUCGUCGCCAUAGGAUGGGACUGCGGCCUAUCAGCUUGUUGGUGAGGUAAUGGCCCACCAAGGCGAUUACAGGUACGGGCUCUGAGAGGAGAAGCCCGGAGAUGGGUACUGAGACAAGGACCCAGGCCCUAUGGGGCGCAGCAGGCGAGAAAACUUUGCAAUGUGCGAAAGCACGACAAGGUUAGUCCGAGUGAUUUCUGCUAAAGAGAUCUUUUGUUAGUUAUAAAACCACUAACGAAUAAGGGGUGGGCAAGUUCUGGUGUCAGCCGCCGCGGUAAAACCAGCACCUCAAGUGGUCAGGAUGAUUAUUGGGCCUAAAGCAUCCGUAGCCGGCUCUGUUAGUUUUCGGUUAAAUCCAUGUGCUCAACACAUGGGCUGCCGAAAAUACUGCAGGGCUAGGGAGUGGGAGAGGUAGACGGUACUCAGUAGGAAGGGGUAAAAUCCUUUGAUCUAUUGAUGACCACCUGUGGCGAAGGCGGUCUACCAGAACACGUUCGACGGUGAGGGAUGAAAGCUGGGGGAGCAAACCGGAUUAGAUACCCGGGUAGUCCCAGCUGUAAACGAUGCAGACUCGAUGAUGCAUUGGCUUAUUGCCAAUGCAGUGUCGCAGGGAAGCCGUUAAGUCUGCCGCCUGGGAAGUACGUACGCAAGUAUGAAACUUAAAGGAAUUGGCGGGGGAGCACCACAAGGGGUGAAGCCUGCGGUUCAAUUGGAGUCAACGCCGGG
rnacentral:rRNA from 1 species